rnacentral:rRNA from 1 species
AGUGAACGCUGGCGGCGUGCUUAACACAUGCAAGUCGAACGAGAACGGAUUAUAGCUUGCUAUAAUUGUCAGCUAAGUGGCGCACGGGUGAGUAAUGUAUAGGUAAUAUGCCUCUUACUGAGGGAUAACAAAUGGAAACGUUUGCUAAUACCUUAUACUCCUUAUUAACAUAAGUUAAUAAGGGAAAGAUUUAUUGGUAAGAGAUUAGCCUGUAUUGUAUCAGUUAGUUGGUGGGGUAAUGGCUUACCAAGACUAUGACACAUAACUGGUUUGAGAGGAUGAUCAGUCACACUGGAACUGAGACACGGUCCAGACUCCUACGGGAGGCAGCAGUGGGGAAUAUUGCACAAUGGACGAAAGUCUGAUGCAGCAACGCCGCGUGGAGGAUGACACAUUUCGGAGCGUAAACUCCUUUUGUAUGAGAAGAUAAUGACGGUAUUAUAUGAAUAAGCACCGGCUAACUCCGUGCCAGCAGCCGCCGUAA